rnacentral:piRNA from 1 species
GAGGUGUUUGGAGUUGCACUUGUAUAGCUC